rnacentral:rRNA from 1 species
UACAGAGGGGGCAAGCGUUGUUCGGAAUUACUGGGCGUAAAGGGCGCGUAGGCGGUCCGCUAAGUCGAACGUGAAAUCCCCGAGCUCAACUCGGGAACUGCGUCCGAUACUGGCAGGCUUGAAUCCGGGAGAGGGAUGUGGAAUUCCAGGUGUAGCGGUGAAAUGCGUAGAUAUCUGGAGGAACACCGAUGGCGAAGGCGACUUUCUGGACUGUAACUGACGCUGAGGCGCGAAAGCGUGGGGAGCGAACAGG